rnacentral:lncRNA from 1 species
AAGGAAAAAAAGACCAUUUGUCAGGCAUCUUCUGACUUGUAGGUUAUGAAACCCUAGGAUCUAUCUACAUAAUAUCACACCUAGAGGGGGGUGAAUAGGCGUAUAGCCCAAAAUCGCAAAUCUCAAUGCAAUAAAAAAUAAAUGCGAAAAAUAAAAAUAGCAUACCAAGAUUUACGUGGGAAAACUCCAAUUUGGAGAAAAACCCACGGGACCAACAUGCGAAAAAAUAAUUCACUGAGAGAAAAGUUUACAAGGUGAUUACUGACUCUACGGACUCGACCUCUCUUAACUUUCUAUGGAUCUCGCGCAAGCCUCCGGGUUGUCCACACUCUCACGUUCGAAUCCACGAACGCCACACACAUAUCCAAAUCCACAAACGUCACUCGAAUCCACGAGCCUACGACUUGAAUCCACGGACCGCCUUGAUCACGCCGAAUCCACGACGCCGCACAUG